rnacentral:lncRNA from 1 species
CUUUCAUACAUGGAAUAUAUUGUGAAUCUUUUCUAACUCAAAUUGUAAUGCUAGCCGAUAAGCAACUGGUCCGACUCAUUCAAUAAUCUCAUACGGCCCGAUGAAUCUUGGACUCAAUUUUCCUUUACGACCAAAUAAGUCUUUUCUUCCACGGAGAUACUUUCAAAAACACUUUAUCCCCGAUUUGAAGCUUAAUAUCUUUCCAUUUCAAGUCGCGUAAGAUUUCUGUCGAUCUGAUGCUGCUUUUAGGC